rnacentral:rRNA from 1 species
GUGGGGAAUAUUGGACAAUGGGCGCAAGCCUGAUCCAGCCAUGCCGCGUGAGUGAUGAAGGCCCUAGGGUUGUAAAGCUCUUUCAGUGGGGACGAUAAUGACGGUACCCACAGAAGAAGCCCCGGCUAACUUCGUGCCAGCAGCCGCGGUAAUACGACGGGGGCUAGCGUUGUUCGGAUUUACUGGGCGUAAAGCGCACGUAGGCGGAUCGUUAAGUCGAGGGUGAAAUCCUGGAGCUCAACUCCAGAACUGCCUUCGAUACUGGCGAUCUUGAGUCCGGAAGAGGUGAGUGGAACUCCUAGUGUAGAGGUGGAAUUCGUAGAUAUUAGGAAGAACACCAGUGGCGAAGGCGGCUCACUGGUCCGGUACUGACGCUGAGGUGCGAAAGCGUGGGGAGCAAACAGGAUUAGAUACCCCUGUAGUCC